ACAGAACAUUACUCCUGUGUUUGUGGUGAUGCUGAUGUAGACAAACCUGCACUGCCAGUUGUAUGAGACGACAGCAUAUACAAUUAGGAUGUGAGCAAGAGGAGAGAAGCCUGAGGACAGAAGCUUAGAGAAACUCAAACUCCUAACUGUCAUAUAGAAGAGAAUCCUUUUUAGACUGACUGAGGAACGACCAGAACUGUGAGAGGCAGAAUGGCAGGCUUAGUUUCCUGGUGCCCCAUGGCUGUGGGAAUCAUCACAAUCUAUUGUUGAUGGCAGCGACAGCCCAUCCAGAGUGGCUGCUGUGAAAAAGCUGGCUGCAGCGGGGGAGGUGCGGCCGGGGUUGCACGCUCCAUGGGGCCAGAGGGAGCCCAGAACAGGGGGAGCCCCAACCCCACCGAGUUUGCGACAGAAGCCCACUCUCUCGGUCAGGAUGCAGCCACCCAGCCACAGCUCCAAACCCAGGACAAAAAUAGGAGCUAAAUGAGGAGAGGAAAAAAAACAGAGAAGACAUUUCUAUGAAGAAUGCAAGUUCUCUACAGAAAACUAUCUAGGGAAAUUUAGAACAAUUUGUUAAUCUUUCUAAACUUCAUUGCCUUUUCCUACAAAGUGAAAUAAUGAAAUUUUCCUGAGGAUAAAGGAGAUAAUCCAUUUGCACUUCCUGAUGCAUAGAAAGCACUUAAUAAAUUCUGAAUGCUACUGUUAUUGUUGAUUUCCAGUGGGGAGAUGGAAGAAGCAGCAGCUCUGGUCCAAGUUCAACUAUAUCAUCUCUUCCUUCCUUUUACUUCAUUUUCCCUCUCUUCACAGAAAUCUUACAAUUCUGUUUUUUGAUGUGUGAUUAUCUAAAUGGAAUACCAGGUAGUAUGUUAAUUUAGUAACAAAAGAAAGUAGGCCUUUUGGGUUAGCAUUUGAUGCUGUAGUUGAUUCAAUCCCUCUCACUCUUUACAUUAGACACAGGAAAUUAGCAGGGUCCCCUUUUAAUGGAAAACAUUUUCUUGCUAAAUCUGUAUUGCUUUCCAAUUUAGGCCCUUGUCAUUGUGUUCCCACAAAUGACACAAUUUAACAGUGCAUGGGUGGAUUCUCUAGAGACUGAGAAGGUUCAUGAAAAUAUUCAUAAGAGAGGUGUGUCAUUUCCCCUCAGCACUACCCACUGCACCCAAAUUAGAAAGACAAACUCCCAGCAGAUGGGUCUCCUGGCCUCUUUCCAAUACAUAAUUUAAAUUGUUUUUCAAAGACACUACAAAUCAAAAGCUGACUGAUGCUGCAAACAAUUUAUGUGUUUCAGAGAAUCAAGUGACAAGGUCAGUGUACAGCACUGCUUUAAUUAUUAUGCCUUUUAAUGACUUGCUUUUUAGUGUGAUAGCUUGUAGAAUGAGUAGUUUCGGGUUUUCUUGGAAUGUAAUAAAACAUUUCUUACUUUCUGCCAUCUAUCCAGUCAGAUGGACUGUGGCUAACCCCUAACAACAGUGCAGUGGCCCAUAAGAAAUGUUUCAGGUUUUAAUUCAGUUCCUUAACGGAGAACCAACUACUUUACACAACCCAUCACCCAAAGUAUGACCAUUUGGACUGAAGAAAUAAUAGCUAGAAGUGGCCUUGCAUCUGCAUUAUUUAACGUUUCAGUCACUAUCCUAAAUUACAGCAGAAGAAACACGCUUAUUAAGUUUGCAUAGAAAGCCAGGCUGGGAAGGAAUGCAGAGGAUAGCGUCUGAGAAAACAUUUACCAGCUCUCUAUGAUCAUGUCCAUUUGGAUCCUUUAUCAAAAGCAACACAGCUAAACUCAGUAAAGAGAGAACAGACAGCAGGAUGGAAAGAGAAGAUGGAACAGCUCUGAACUAGUCAGAAGCUCUGCAGUCAAAGACUGAACUCUGGCAUUUGCUACAUACAUGUACAUCUUGAGCACAUCACUUUGCUUUUAUAUCUUAGUAUAUCUUAAUUUGCCAACUAUAAAGAGUGAUAAAAAUGCCCUGCCACGCCUAUUUGCUAGACUUUUGUGAAAAUUAAACUGCAUCUUACUAAUUUUCAAAAUAAAAUCAUGAAAGACAUGCAUUUCAAUCUCUGAGGUUAAGGUUACCUUCCCUGGAGAAAGUCUUUUUUUUCUUUACAAUGCAAAUGAUUUCUUGUAUUUCAAUAGUUUUUGGAGUACAGGUGGUUUUUGGUUACACAGAUAAGUUCUUCAGUGGUGAUUUCUGAGAUUUUGAAAGCACCUACCACCCAAGCAGUGUACACUGUUCCCAGUAAGUAGUCUUUUAUCCCUCGCUCCCCUCCCAGCCUUACCCCUCAAGCCCUUAAAGCCCAUUAUGUCACUCUUAUGCCUUUGCAUCCUCAUAGCUUAGCUGCCACUCAUAAGUGAGAACAUGCACUAUUUGGUUUUCCAUUCCUGAAUUGCUUCACUUAGAAUAAUGGCCUCCAGCUCCAUCCAAGUUGCGCAAAAGACAUUGUUUCGUUUAUUUUUAUGGCUGAGUAGUAUUCCACGGUAUAUAUAUACCAUGUUUUCUUUAUCCACUCAUUGGUCAAUGGACACUUAAGUUGGUUCCAUAUCUUUGCAAUUGCAAAUUGUGCUGCUAUAAACACGUGUGUGCAUGUGUCUUUUUCAAAUAAUGACUUCUUUUUCUGGAAAAAGUCUUAUUGAGGAAAUUAUAUUUGUGGAAGGUUAUUAGAUUACUAUCACACCCCAUAUUUGCUAUAUGUACCGUCCUAUGUAUGCGGCCACCUCUUAACCCUUCUCACCCAGGCCCUCCUGCAGCUUAACAUAACACUUGUACACUGACAACUCCCAAACACUUAUCACCAGGCCCAGGCUCUACUCUAAACUUCAGUCUAACUGACAUCCAACUUAGACGUCUAAGAAGCAUAGAAAAUUUUAUGUAAUAACAGUAGUAAUUGCAGUGAUCACAUGGACGCAGGGAUGGGAACAUCACACACCGGGGCGUGUCGAGGGGUGAGGGGCAAACGGAGGGAGAGCAUUAGGACAAAUACCUAAUUCAUGCAGGGCUUAAAACCUAGAUGAUUGGUUGAUAGGUGUGGCUAACCACUAUGGCACAUGUAGACCUAUGUAACAAACCUGCACAUUCUGCACAUGUAUCCUGGAAGUUAAAGUAAAAUAAAAUAUAAUAAUAAUUACAGUGAUCACAAUAGCAUCUACAGUCUAUUGGACACUGACUUUAUACCAAGCACUAUGCUACAUACAUUUUAAAUAUCAAUUUAUUUUUCUUGCCCUGGCAAGACCACUCCUCCUCCCUUAACACUACCCUUGGCAGAAUAGUAAAAGGGGCCCACCAAUCCUUGAGUGAUUCUUCUACAUCUCUUUGAUAAUGAAUAAUUGCCAGAGAUGGUUCAAGUAGGUGCAUCUUAAAGCCAGAUAAUUAUCUUGUGCUCACUUUUUUCUC